rnacentral:rRNA from 1 species
GAUGAACGCUGGCGGCGUGCCUAAUACAUGCAAGUCGAGCGAACGGACGAGAAGCUUGCUUCCCUGAUGUUAGCGGCGGACGGGUGAGUAACACGUGGAUAACCUACCUAUAAGACUGGGAUAACUUCGGGAAACCGGAGCUAAUACCGGAUGAUAUUUUGAACCGCAUGGUUCAAAAGUGAAAGACGGUCUUGCUGUCACUUAUAGAUGGAUCCGCGCUGCAUUAGCUAGUUGGUAAGGUAACGGCUUACCAAGGCAACGAUGCAUAGCCGACCUGAGAGGGUGAUCGGCCACACUGGAACUGAGACACGGUCCAGACUCCUACGGGAGGCAGCAGUAGGGAAUCUUCCGCAAUGGGCGAAAGCCUGACGGAGCAACGCCGCGUGAGGGAUGAAGGUCUUCGGAUCGUAAAACUCUGUUAUUAGGGAAGAACAUAUGUGUAAGUAACUGUGCACAUCUUGACGGUACCUAAUCAGAAAGCCACGGCUAACUACGUG